rnacentral:tRNA from 2 species
CGAAAUGUAGUUUAUUAAAAUAUUAACAUUGGAAGUUAAAGAUUAGGUUAUACCUACGUUUCGA